rnacentral:lncRNA from 1 species
UACAGUAUAUCUGAGCAUCUAAUGCACCACUUUCAAAUACAGUCAUUUCUUUUUCCCAUGUCCAAAUAUUCGAAAUAGAGCUAUAAUACUUGAGCUGUUUGAUACAGCAGGACAAACAGAAGCAACAAAAUCGAAGUAAAAAUCAGAGAAGAACAAUGCCAGUCAACUUUGCUUUGGAUAAGCCUCAUCGGGGCGCCAUUAAGAAAGCUAUUAUGCUGACGCUUUGUGAGGGUAACAAAGAGGUGGUAAUAAUCUCUCCCUCUCUCGUAUCAUUUCUUCUUUGUUACUGUUUCUUGUAGAUAAUCUAUCGGAAUGAUUUUCUAGGCAUUGCAAGUGAGCCAGAAACAAGGACGGAGAGGAAGAGUGAAGGAGCAAGGACGUAUUGGUGCUCAACUGCAAGUCAGCUGCAAACAAGGGGUGAGAAGAAAGAUAGACAAAGGAUGGAUAUUACAUUGGUACAGCCAAAAUAGCCACUGCUAAUUUUUCUACUUACUUAAAAUAUGAUCACAAAGACGACAGCAACAAGUACCCAGUAAAAUCCCACAAGUAAAACAUGAUCACAAAGACAAUGUGCAAAAUGGGGGGACUAUGACAUGUAGAUGGAAGCUUUACUAAGCAGACCAUGGACCACUAUGCAUUAGUGCCUGGUUUCUCUGUAAAUAAAUUUAUGAGUGAUGUAAAAUCGGAACUUGCUCAUAAGUUUGUAUUCCCUCCUGCACUUUCAAAGUCCAAAUUACCCCAUUGACGUGUAACUUCUGUUGUUUACCAAAUGAUACAUGCGCCUCUCAAACAAGUCAAGAUCACAUCCCCUACAAGUAUAGUAUUCUUUCAUGUAAUGAGCAAACUGAAUUGGCAGCAAAGACAUAAUUGUUGAAGUAUUGAGUUAUUUGCUGUUAUUUUUCUUUUCGGUUAAGUAAUUUUAUUUGUGAAAUUCAGUUAUUUAGUUGAGAUAGAAUAGGAUUUUAUUAUUUUUCUUUUUUGUUAAGUAAUUUUAUUUCUGAAAUUCAGUUAUUUAGUUGAGAUAGAAUAGGAUUUUAUUAGUAUCCUAGUUGAAGAUAGAAUAGGAUUUUAUUAGUUUUGAAAUAGAAUAGG